rnacentral:pre_miRNA from 1 species
AGUGGGAUAGCUGGGUCAAAUGAUGCCUCCAUUCCAAGUUUUCUAAGGAAUCUCCAUACUGCUUUCCAGAGUGGUUGCACCAAUUUUCAGUCCCACGAGCAAU